rnacentral:rRNA from 1 species
ACAGCAGCAGCCACGGUAAUACGUAGGGUGCAAGCGUUAAUCGGAAUUACUGGGCGUAAAGCGUGCGCAGGCGGUUAUAUAAGACAGAUGUGAAAUCCCCGGGCUCAACCUGGGAACUGCAUUUGUGACUGUAUAGCUAGAGUACGGCAGAGGGGGAUGGAAUUCCGCGUGUAGCAGUGAAAUGCGUAGAUAUGCGGAGGAACACCGAUGGCGAAGGCAAUCCCCUGGGCCUGUACUGACGCUCAUGCACGAAAGCGUGGGGAGCAAACAGGAUUAGAUACCCCUGUAGUCCCUGUCUCUUAUAC